GACCUGGUGUUGAAUGGUUCACACCCACUCCCCUUGGUGUCGAUCCAUGAUAUAUAGUUGUCCGGGAGUCCCCGGUUCGAAUCCGGGCCAGGUCU